CCCUCAGUAACGGCGAGUGAAGCGGGAAGAGCUCAUUCUGUGAAUCUGUAUGCUCUUUUGGUAUACCGAGUUGUAGAAUAUAGAAGCACAUCAGUGCGAAUUCCGGUCUAAGUCUCUUGGAAAAGAGCAGCUAAGAGGGUGAGACUCCCGUUCUUGGCUGGAAUUCAAACUUUAGCAUGUGGUUUCGACGAGUCGAGUUGCUUGGGAUUGCAGCUCAAAGUUGGUGGUAAAUUCCAUCUAAAGCUAAAUAUCGGUGGGAGACCGAUAGCGUACAAGUACCGUGAGGGAAAGAUGCAAAGAACUUUGAAAAAAGAGUUAAAGAGUACCUGAAAUUGCUGAAAUGGAAGCGAAGGAAACCAGUGCCGUUCUGUAUCAUUCUUCCGUCCUUGCUUGCGAGGGUGGCGCUGUGAUGCAGGAUAGGCCAGCGUGGGUUUGAGCCGAAGGAAGCAGCUCUUCAGGAGGCAGCGCAAUUUCUGUGCGAUUACUGUUGAGCUUUGCUUCGGCUUGGACUGAGGCUAGUCACUUGUGCUCGUGACGCUGGCGAAAUGGUUUUCUUUACCCCGUCUUGAAACACGGACCAAGGAGUCUAACAUAUGUGCGAGUAUAUGAGUGACAAACUCACAUGCGAAAUGAAAGUAACAGUGGUUGGACCUUCUGGGCACAAUCCGCCGGCCACAAUCCUUCGGGAGAAAGGUCUGAGUGUGAGCAUACAUGUUGGGACCCGAAAGAUGGUGAACUAUGCCUGAAUAGGGUGAAGCCGC
rnacentral:rRNA from 1 species